AAACGAAACCGUUGGCCUAUCUGAAAGAACCUCCUGGAUGAGCAAAGGAAGAUACAUCCCUGAACCAUUGAAUAAGCCUGAUAAUUUCAGUGAACCAAGCACCAGUGGUACGAAAGAUAUUCCUCAAGAGGAUGAUUGUUCAGCAAAAGAAGACAUACCCUCUACUCCGAUAGCACGUAGUGAAACUUCAUCAGAUACUCCCUCCACUUCUUCAGGGCAAACUGAAUCUUCUUCAGAUAUUCCAUCUGCUCCCUCGGCUCAAAGAAAAACUCCUGAAGUUCAAAAGGAACCAGCCAAGGUGACAACAAAAACGAAAGCGAACGUUCAUCAUCAACCCAAGCAGAUGAGCGAUAGGAAGAUAGAAAGGAACCAAAGAUACAGGAAAAACCUUUCUGAAAGGAAACAAUUCUGGCUCUCCCAGAAUGCAUACUAUUCACAUAAGGACAAGAAUCUGAAGUAUGAAAACAAUCCUGUAAGAAAGGCUGACAGUUCCAACAACCGAAAGCCAAGGUUCGGUUCGCAAGAAAACACCAACCGAAAGCAAGGGCUCGGUUCUGAAAAGGAAUUCGACCGAAACCAAAGGUUCGGUUCCAAGAACAACUCCAACCGAACACAGAGGUUCGGCUCUAAAGCCAAAAGAGAACAAGACUCGAAGGUCAGCCCCGCCAACGAUCAAAAGCAAAAGGGUCACCUAGAGUCAUCAGCCAGGAAGACAUCUCCAUCCAAAUCCUCUCAUUCUAAUUCUUCUCGUUCUUCUACUUCCACUCAUUCAUCUCCAUCUUGCUCUAAAGCUAAUCCCACAUGUUGUCAAAAACCUCAUCCAUCAGCUGAACAGAAAGGAAAGCAGAAGGUCGAUGAAUCCAAACCUGAGUCCAAAGCGAACAAACCCAAUCCUAACAAAAUAAAAGUCUUUACCAUUAAAAAGAAAGAUGAAACAACUCUAAUUAAAAGAACAUAUCUAGUUGACAUCUCUCUUACUAUUCCCGUUCCCAUGAAAAGCUCACAUGGACCCAAGAAACUUUGGGUUCCUAAAUCUGCUUAAUUUUUGCAGGUUAUGAGUGACGAGCAGUUUGACGAAGAAUGGUACAUUGACAGUGGCUGCUCGCGUCACAUGACAGGGAGGAAAGAGGAGCUCAGGGAAUACAGAUCUCUUGCAAAUGGUGGCAACGUCAAGUUUGGAAAUAACUCUUUCGGCACCAUAAAGGGAUACGGGAUGAUAACGAAUGGUGACUUUACAAUAAGGAAGGUGGCCUAUGUGGAAGGACUUCAACACAACCUCAUCAGUGUAUCUCAGCUUGUUGGAGGUACAGGUCUCAAAGUUUCAUUCGAUGAUGAAGGUUCUGAAAUCAUAGAGAAAAAGACAAAGAAAGUGAUUCUGAAGUCAGAGCGAAAGGGUGAAAUGUUUCCUCUGAACAUGAAACCCAUCAAAGGAAACCCAGCCAUAUGUCUGCUAUCAAAAGCUCAAUCCGACGAAAGCUGGUUGUGGCACAGAAGACUCUCUCAUCUCAAUUUCAAAGAUAUCAACCGACUUGUCACUGGAGGUCAUGUUAGGGGUCUUCCAUUGCUCAAGUUUGACCGAGAGCAUUUGUGUGCUGCAUGCGAAAUGGGAAAGCAGAGUCGUCAAAGUCACCCAUCCGUAAUUAACACAAAAGUUGUUGAACCACUCGAAUUGCUUCAUAUCGAUUUGUGCGGUCUUUCAUCUAUCGAAAGCAUUGGUGGUAGCAAGUAUAUUCUUGUUAUCGUAGAUGACUUCUCACGAUUUACAUGGGUGUUCUUUCUAAAGCUCAAAUCUGAAGCGACUCAAAAGCUGAAAGUGUUUAUCAAGCAGAUUGAAGUCCAGCUUAAGAAGGUUGUUCGAAACAUCAGGAGCGACAAUGGUCUCGAAUUCAAGAACAAGGAGUUUGAAGAGUUUCUUGCAGAAAAGGGAAUAAGUCAUAAUUUCUCAGCUCCCUACACACCACAACAGAACGGAAUAGUCGAAAGACGAAACCGAUCCUUGUGUGAAGCUGCCCGAACUAUGUUAAGUUUCGCUUCCUUACCUCUUUAUUUUUGGGCUGACGCUAUUUCUGCUGCUUGUUAUACACAGCACAGGUCCUAUCUCAAUAAGCGAUUCAGGCUCACACCAUAUUGUGACUCAAUAUGAAGAAGAUCCCACUAUAUUGUGACUCUGAAAGUGCAAUUAGGAUCUGUCAUAACCCAGUGCAACACUCUAAAACCAAACACAUAGCACUGAGGUAUCACUUCAUCAAAGAUCAUGUGGAAGAUGGAAAUGUUGAAGUUCACUUCGUAAGAACCACUGAUCAACUGGCUGACGUCUUUACCAAAGCUCUCCCAGAAGCUUCAUUCAACAAAAUAUUGCAAGGGCUAGGAAUGAUGGAAUCAGAAUCAGUACAUCACACUACCUCACAACCUCAAACGUAAGAAGCGAAUCCAACCGAACGUUCAGGUUCGGUUCAACCAUCUAACUCGCUCAUUGCUUCAAAGGUAGUCUUUCUGAGUUGUAUAUUACAUGUACAUUUUUGUUUUUCUUUACAUUAAAAGUAUUUAUUUCUUGUAUAUUUUACUUCCUUAGUUUCUCAAAAUUUUCCAAAACCGAAACCUACCGAAGGUUCGGGUUCGGUUUUUCAAAAUUUUGUGGAACCGAAACCAACCGAAGGUUCGGGUUCGGUUUUUCAAAAUUUUGCGAAACCGAAACCAACCGAAGGUUCGGGUUCGUUCGGUUUUCCGAAAUUUC
rnacentral:lncRNA from 1 species